CCUACGGGAGGCUGCAGUGGGGAAGAUUGCACAAUGGGGGAAACCCUGAUGCAGCGACGCCGCGUGAGUGAAGAAGUAAUUCGUUACGUAAAGCUCUAUCAGCAGGGAAGAAACACGGACCUGACGGGCAGCAGACGGUACCUGAGUAAGAAGCCCCGGCUAACUACGUGCCCGCAGCCGCGGUAAUACGUAGGGGGCAAGCGUUAUCCGGAUUUACGGGGUGUAAAGGGAGCGUAGACGGUGCGCCAAGUCUGGAGUGAAAGGCCGCAGCUUAACGGCGGAACUGCUUUGGAAACUGGCGACCUCGCGUGCGGGUGGUGUAAGCGCACUUCCUAGUGUAGCUGU
rnacentral:rRNA from 1 species